GCCAGACUCCUACGGGAGGCAGCAGUGGGGGAUAUUGCACAAUGGGGGAAACCCUGAUGCAGCGACGCCGCGUGAAGGAAGAAGUAUCUCGGUAUGUAAACUUCUAUCAGCAGGGAAGAAAAUGACGGUACCUGACCAAGAAGCCCCGGCUAACUACGUGCCAGCAGCCGCGGUAAUACGUAGGGGGCAAGCGUUAUCCGGAUUUACUGGGUGUAAAGGGAGCGUAGGCGGCGACGCAAGUCAGAAGUGAAAGCCCGGGGCUCAACUCCGGGACUGCUUUUGAAACUGCGUUGCUAGAUUGAGGGAGAGGCAAGUGGAAUUCCUAGUGUAGCGGUGAAAUGCGUAGAUAUUAGGAGGAACACCAGUGGCGAAGGCGGCUUACUGGACCGUGAAUGACGCUGAGGCUCGAAAGCGUGGGGAGCAAACAGGAUUAGAUACCCUAGUAU
rnacentral:rRNA from 1 species